AUUGAACGCUGGCGGCAUGCCUUACACAUGCAAGUCGAACGGCAGCACGGGCUUCGGUCUGGUGGCGAGUGGCGAACGGGUGAGUAAUGUAUCGGAACGUACCUUUCAGUGGGGGAUAACGUAGCGAAAGUUACGCUAAUACCGCAUAUUCUGUGAGCAGGAAAGCAGGGGAUCGCAAGACCUUGCGCUGAUUGAGCGGCCGAUAUCAGAUUAGCUAGUUGGUGAGGUAAAGGCUCACCAAGGCGACGAUCUGUAGCGGGUCUGAGAGGAUGGUCCGCCACACUGGAACCGAGACACGGUCCAGACUCCUACGGGAGGCAGCAGUGGGGAAUUUAGGACAAUGGGGGCACCCCUGAUCCAGCCAUGCCGCGUGAGUGAAGAAGGCCUUCGGGUUGUAAAGCUCUUUCGGCCGGGAAGAAAUCGUAUGGGUUAAUACCCUGUGCGGAUGACGGUACCGGCAUAAGAAGCACCGGCUAACUACGUGCCAGCAGCCGCCGUAAAAC
rnacentral:rRNA from 1 species